GCCACCCUAGCUCAGCUGGUAGAGCAAUUCAUUCGUAAUGAAUAGGUCACCGGUUCGAGUCCGGUGGGUGGCU
rnacentral:tRNA from 1 species